rnacentral:rRNA from 1 species
CAGCGGGUUACGAUUGACGGAGCGAAGCGACGUCAAAGCGUAUACAAAGUCGAGUCGGUUUAAGGAUACGUUCGUUGGGUAGGGGAGCGUUCUGUAAGCCCGUGAAGGUGGCCUGUGAGGGUUGCUGGAGGUAUCAGAAGUGCGAAUGCUGACAUAAGUAACGAUAAAGCGGGUGAAAAGCCCGCUCGCCGGAAGACCAAGGGUUCCUGUCCAACGUUAAUCGGGGCAGGGUGAGUCGACCCCUAAGGCGAGGCCGAAAGGCGUAGUCGAUGGGAAACGGGUUAAUAUUCCCGUACUUGGUGUUACUGCGAAGGGGGGACGGAGAAGGCUAUGUUGGCCGGGCGACGGUUGUCCCGGUUUAAGCGUGUAGGUGUGUGUUCCAGGUAAAUCCGGUUCACUUUAACACUGAGGCGUGAUGACGAGGCACUACGGUGCUGAAGCAACAAAUGCCCUGCUUCCAGGAAAAGCCUCUAAGCAUCAGGUAACAUCAAAUCGUACCCCAAACCGACACAGGUGGUCAGGUAGAGAAUACCAAGGCGCUUGAGAGAACUCGGGUGAAGGAACUAGGCAAAAUGGUGCCGUAACUUCGGGAGAAGGCACGCUGACACGUAGGUGAAGUGAUUUACUCAUGGAGCUGAAGUCAGUCGAAGAUACCAGCUGGCUGCAACUGUUUAUUAAAAACACAGCACUGUGCAAACACGAAAGUGGACGUAUACGGUGUGACGCCUGCCCGGUGCCGGAAGGUUAAUUGAUGGGGUCAGCGCAAGCGAAGCUCCUGAUCGAAGCCCCGGUAAACGGCGGCCGUAACUAUAACGGUCCUAAGGUAGCGAAAUUCCUUGUCGGGUAAGUUCCGACCUGCACGAAUGGCGUAAUGAUGGCCAGGCUGUCUCCACCCGAGACUCAGUGAAAUUGAACUCGCUGUGAAGAUGCAGUGUACCCGCGGCAAGACGGAAAGACCCCGUGAACCUUUACUAUAGCUUGACACUGAACAUUGAGCCUUGAUGUGUAGGAUAGGUGGGAGGCUUUGAAGUGUGGACGCCAGUCUGCAUGGAGCCGACCUUGAAAUACCACCCUUUAAUGUUUGAUGUUCUAACGUGGACCCGUAAUCCGGGUUGCGGACAGUGUCUGGUGGGUAGUUUGACUGGGGCGGUCUCCUCCUAAAGAGUAACGGAGGAGCACGAAGGUUGGCUAAUCCUGGUCGGACAUCAGGAGGUUAGUGCAAUGGCAUAAGCCAGCUUGACUGCGAGCGUGACGGCGCGAGCAGGUGCGAAAGCAGGUCAUAGUGAUCCGGUGGUUCUGAAUGGAAGGGCCAUCGCUCAACGGAUAAAAGGUACUCCGGGGAUAACAGGCUGAUACCGCCCAAGAGUUCAUAUCGACGGCGGUGUUUGGCACCUCGAUGUCGGCUCAUCACAUCCUGGGGCUGAAGUAGGUCCCAAGGGUAUGGCUGUUCGCCAUUUAAAGUGGUACGCGAGCUGGGUUUAGAACGUCGUGAGACAGUUCGGUCCCUAUCUGCCGUGGGCGCUGGAGAACUGAGGGGGGCUGCUCCUAGUACGAGAGGACCGGAGUGGACGCAUCACUGGUGUUCGGGUUGUCAUGCCAAUGGCACUGCCCGGUAGCUAAAUGCGGAAGAGAUAAGUGCUGAAAGCAUCUAAGCACGAAACUUGCCCCGAGAUGAGUUCUCCCUGAGACUUUAGGUCUCCUGAAGGAACGUUGAAGACGACGACGUUGAUAGGCCGGGUGUGUAAGCGCAGCGAUGCGUUGAGCUAACCGGUACUAAUGAACCGUGAGGCUUAACCUU